AGAAUCAACGCUGGCGGCGUGCCUAACACAUGCAAGUCGAACGAGAAAGGGUAGCAAUACCUGAGUAAAGUGGCGCACGGGUGAGUAACACGUGACUAACCUACCCUGGAGUGGGGGAUAACUGAGGGAAACCUUAGCUAAUACCGCAUAAUACCUACGGGUCAAAGGAGCAAUUCGCUUUGGGAGGGGGUCGCGGCCGAUUAGUUAGUUGGCGGGGUAAUGGCCCACCAAGACGAUGAUCGGUAUCC
rnacentral:rRNA from 1 species